rnacentral:rRNA from 1 species
AGUGAACGCUGGCGGUAGGCCUAACACAUGCAAGUCGAACGGCAGCACAGUAAGAGCUUGCUCUUACGGGUGGCGAGUGGCGGACGGGUGAGGAAUACAUCGGAAUCUACUUUUUCGUGGGGGAUAACGUAGGGAAACUUACGCUAAUACCGCAUACGACCUACGGGUGAAAGCAGGGGAUCUUCGGACCUUGCGCGAUUGAAUGAGCCGAUGUCGGAUUAGCUAGUUGGCGGGGCAAAGGCCCACCAAGGCGACGAUCCGUAGCUGGUCUGAGAGGAUGAUCAGCCACACUGGAACUGAGACACGGUCCAGACUCCUACGGGAGGCAGCAGUGGGGAAUAUUGGACAAUGGGCGCAAGCCUGAUCCAGCCAUACCGCGUGGGUGAAGAAGGCCUUCGGGUUGUGAAGCCCUUUUGUUGGGAAAGAAAAGCAGCAGGUUAAUACCCCGCUGUUCUGACGGUACCCAAAGAAUAAGCACCGGCUAACUUCGUG